UUAGAAUGAACCGAUUCACUUGACUGAACUGAACUUUCCAAUGCUACAAAGAGGAACGUUGAGGUGAGUGUCUGAGAUGCAGUGUUACCUGGCUGCGUGCGACUCCGAUGCAGCUUCCCAUCCUGUAUUCCAUGUCCUCCUGAGGAGAGGUGACUGAAGCACUACAAGGCUUGCAAAAAUAAUCUCUCCAGGAUUGCAUCCCCACUACAAAGAAAUGGCAUCGCUGAGCAAUGCAAGCAGGGUGUGAGCAACGAUGCUAUAAGAUGCUGCUCUGCAAGUGGGUAAAAAGCACCUCUGUUAUCGAUAGCGACCAUCACACAAGCAGGGAGAGGCGGGGGGAGGACGGAAAAUACAGAAGCCGGAUGAAAACGAGAAAAUAAAAGAACAGAGCAUCUGCAAGUUUAAAAGAGCAACAGCUGCAGGCAUGACGACACGGUACUGAACAUCAAAAGAAAAUCGCCAGAGGAAAAGUGAUGGAGCCACUCAAGUGAAAUGGGACAGUGGCAGAAAAUAA